GCACACACUCACAGCCUCUGAUACUAACGAGGACGAACGGUUUAAAUCCUGGCCUCCGAAAGUUCAAGGCCUCCUCCCGCCGCCCACUGGGCAGCCCAGCUUAUUUUCGGCCUCGAGGAGGGGGGAGGGGGCCACGCGGCGCCCCGCGGUCUGGGCGGCUCUGGCCGUUUCUCAGGCCCCUAGCAGGGCCCGUGGACCCACGCCGGAGCCGAUCGAGGAGAGGUACCAGCAGGUCCGAAGCUCGGGCGGGGGACAAGUACCUCCGCUGCCGCCCUCUCCCCGCCCCCUAAAAGACCGAAGAGGACGACCGCGGAACGACGGCCUCCUCAGCCCCAGGAGUAAAGCCAUUCCAAGUACCUUGUUAAGUGUGAGCCUGUUCUUCCUCAGUGGAUUCACACUGGUGACAUUGCAACAACAGGAGGUGAAAAUGCCGGAUUCCUGUUCCAGGUAGCUGGCCGACACAAUGACAACAGAGAGGUAUUUGGCACACCUGGGAUUAGUGAUGGGAGACCCUGCCUCCCGACGCCUAGCUCCAGGAAGUAUCCUAUAGUCCUUCCCCGGAUGUCCAAGCCACCUCUUCUCGAAAAUCCUCCCGGCCUAAUGGAUUCCAGCUGAGAACCGUGUGGCGCGCCACCGCUGCUGCUCCUCCUCCAACGCUUAGCGGAAGCCCAGGGCUCCCGCAGUCGCCUCAGGGACCACGCCGCCGGCCGGAGCUGAAUGGCCCUCGGCUCUCAAACAGUGGACCUGGGCACUCAGAACAAAGGCACAGCUGCUCCAGCUGCCUGGGCGCCGCUCUGCGAACGGGAACACCAAGCUGCGGGGUCCGGAGUCCCUCACAAUCGCUUGUUUUGUUUUCUCUUUUUGAUACUGUGUCAAGGCUGCCCUGGUGCUUGCUAGAAAUCCAGACUGGCCUCACACUCCUCCUGUGUUUGCCUCCCAAUUGUUAGGAUUACAGGAGUGAGCCACCAUACUAGAAUAGCACUGUGACAGGCCAGGCGGCAAAGGAAGAAAUAGAAGUAAAAAUGGGGCGGAGGUGGAGGUGGGGGAUAAAAUACUGUUGCCUUCAUUUGUCCACAGAAACAUAUUGUUAAUAUUAUUGUAUUUUACGUUUUGGAUUUUGCUUUUAAACAGGGUCUCAUGGAGCUAAGGGUGUUAAUAAGGGUGUUAAUACUGCGAUGUGUUGGGUGUUGGUUGGUUUGUUUGUUUUGGACGCAGAAUUUCACGCAGUCCAGGCUGGCUUCCUACUUGCUAAAUAAGUGGAAGUUGGCCUUAUCAUCCUUCUUAACCUGCUAACCGCUGGGAUUACUGUACAUACGGCCCACAGAGGUGCCUAUUAACAUAUCAAAGAGGAUGCUGAUGGUCAAGCCCCCUCUACACUUGCUCCCCGUUAGAGUCCCGGCUUCUCAGAGCACUCCCUACUACUCUACCCUACACCUCUCCAGCCCCUGAGCCUCACUUCCCUUCUCUUAACCUUCCCCCAUCUUCUCAUUCCUAUAAAGCCCAGACAUUUGCCCACAAACUCUCUUGGUCUUCAUCCUUUUGGCUUCUUGGUUCUUCUCCCUCUCCUUGUCUCCUCUCCCGUCCCUCUGUCUCUCCUCUCAUGCCCAGGUUCAGUCUGGAUCUUUCCAGAGGCCUCUGGCUCUUCUCUCCCUCAUAUCUACAAUAAAAACCUCCUCAACCAUA
rnacentral:lncRNA from 1 species